rnacentral:pre_miRNA from 17 species
CCGUGCACGGUGGAGAAGCAGGGCACGUGCAUUACCAUCCACUCGCCUGCCGGCCGCCGGCCGCCAUUGCCAUGGAUGGUUCUUCAUGUGCCCGUCUUCUCCACCGAGCACCA